GAGUUUGAUCGUGGCUCAGAGUGAACGCUGGCGGUAGGCCUAACACAUGCAAGUCGAACGGCAGCACAGAGGAGCUUGCUCCUUGGGUGGCGAGUGGCGGACGGGUGAGGAAUACAUCGGAAUCUACUCUGUCGUGGGGGAUAACGUAGGGAAACUUACGCUAAUACCGCAUACGACCUACGGGUGAAAGCAGGGGAUCUUCGGACCUUGCGCGAUUGAAUGAGCCGAUGUCGGAUUAGCUAGUUGGCGGGUAAAGGCCCACCAAGGCGACGAUCCGUAGCUGGUCUGAGAGGAUGAUCAGCCACACUGGAACUGAGACACGGUCCAGACUCCUAC
rnacentral:rRNA from 1 species